rfam:Bombyx mori DNA, contig: Bm_scaf44_contig24538, strain: p50T/Dazao, build 2, whole genome shotgun sequence.
UUAACUCAAAUUUGUAUGGAGUCGGAACGCUUGCCUACGUUUGCCGCUAGGGGCGCUGUUCCAACUGCAUACAAAUUUAGUUA